rnacentral:rRNA from 1 species
AUUGAACGCUGGCGGCAGGCCUAACACAUGCAAGUCGAACGAGUUGCGGACGGGUGAGUAAUGUCUGGGAAAAUGCCCGAUGGAGGGGGAUAACUACUGGCAACGGUAGCUAAUACCGCAUACCAUCGGAUGUGCCCAGAUGGGAUUAGCUAGUAGGUGGGGUAACGGCUCACGUAGGCGACGAUCCCUAGCUUGUCUGAGAGGGUGCACAGCCACACUGGAACUGAGACAAGGUCCAGACUCCUACGUGAGGCAGCAGUGGGGAAUAUUGCAAAAUGGGCGCAAACCUGAUGCAGCCAUGCCGCGUGUAUGAAGAAGGCCUUCGGGUUGUAAAGUACUUUCAGCGAGGAGGCGUUACUCGCAGAAGAAGCACCGGCUAACUCCGUGCCAGCAGCCGCGGUAAUUC